UACAGAGGGUGCAAACGUUGCUCGGAAUUAUUGGGCGUAAAGCGCACGUAGGCGGUUUGGUAAGUUGGAUGUGAAAACCCUGGGCUCAACCCUGGAAGUGCAUCCAAGACUGCCAAGCUAGAGUGUCGGAGGGGGUCGGAGAAUUCCCGGUGUAGAGGUGAAAUUCGUAGAUAUCAGGAGGAACACCGGUGGCGAAGGCGGGUCUCUGGGCCGUAACUGACGCUGAGGAGCGAAAGCAUGGGGAGCGAACAGG
rnacentral:rRNA from 1 species